rnacentral:lncRNA from 1 species
GGGCCCCGAAAAGCACAUUUAAAAAAAGAAAAAGUGUAUUAAUUGUCUUUUAUAGCAAAGCUGAGAGGAAAAAGAGCAUUAGCCAUUUUUACAGUGCACAGCUCUAACCCCGCCCCUUGGCUUACACAUAUCACCCACCCUGUAUAGGAAAUGAUUUUCUCACACAUGUGUUUUGUGCUUGCUGAGAUAAACAAAGAAUGAAUGGUGCCUGCUGGGUAGGGAAAUUGAAAGACAGUUAAUUGGUACAUAUUUCUCUCAUUACUUAUCUAAAUGUUUUAUAUCCACAUGUAAGUGGAAAUGCGUGCUACUGAUGUUUAUUAAUUGUGUCAGAGAUAUGUGUUCUUAGCUUUGCUCCUUUGCUAGGAUGUCCUUGUAGACAUGCACUAUACAACAACUUAGUCUCAUUCAUACUGGGGGCUAUAUGUUCUUCAGUGGCUAGACAAAGCCCCUGCCUUCUAGAAAGUUUUAAACCAAAAGAAAAGAUGAAUGGAGCUAUGCCCGCCCAGCGCCAGAGAGGCGGAGGCAGGAGAACUGCAAGGUCCAGGCCAGCCUAGGUCACACAAGAGAGACUCUGUCCCCUAUAAACAAAGACGACAAGGGGUCUAAUCUCAAUGGUAAAAUGUUCAAGACCCUGGUUCAAUCCACAGCACUGCAAAAGAAAGGAAAGGACAGAACAAAAGAAAUAUAACCAUAGAUAAGGAAAAUUUAGGUAUGCUUGGGGACGGAUCCUGGAAUACAGAGCAAGAAGGGCCCUAGUCAAGUUCAGCGAUGGUUCAUCAAUAAAUCUAGGUCGUCUGGUGUCAGUAUGGCAAGCAUAGUUAGGGAGGAAGACUGAAAGAGAAGCAUCAGGACCCAGUAUGGAACUAAACAUCUUAGGGAUAGUUACAGGAAAUAGAAAGUAGUGAAGUACAGAAACCUUAGCUAUUGCACAACAACGGGCCAAGGAGAGUUUUGCAUGUCACAAAAGCAAGUUAGCAUCUGAUUCUGAUCCACAAUGGAGCUGACCUUGCAGAGCUGGGGCCACGGGAGUCUGAUACACUAAUGUACAUGUCGUGGGGAACAUAUGGACAUAGUAACGAUGACCAUGAUUGCCUCUGCCCAAUGCCUACUCUUCCCCAGAAAGAGCAUCAAGGACUUUAUUUAGUGUGCUGCCUGAUGUCCUGCUCCAUUAUAUAAGAGCUUAAAUGAUGUUCCCUCAGAAAGACUGAUCUGAGUACAUAUUCUAAGGCUCCUUCACCCUCUGUGCAUACAUCUAAUCGUUUCCCUCAACGCAUAUCAUCCUGUCACCUCUGUGUUGCCAUGAGGACAGGGCCUACAUCCUUUUUUGUUCACUACUCCAUCUCAACACUACAGAAAGCUUCCUAGAUGUGAGGCACUCAAAGACUGGCAAUUUCCACAGGAAUCUAACAAAGAGGACAUCAUUUUCUCUGCUCUUACAGAAAGGAGAAGCUGACGCUCAAAUAUGGACUUGCCCUAGUUACUGAUUAUUGGUCUGUGGAGCCCUACAUCCAAUCCAGUCUGGUCAGCUCCAACAUCUAUAGUCCUUGAAACUUCUGGGUCAAUGUGCCACAGAUGGGGUCUAUGGUAAAGCAACAGAUGUGUUACCUUCUAGCACAAGAAACAGUGAUCUCAUUUUGGCAGGGUUAAGUCAUUCUGAGGGCUCUGAGGAACACGCCUUCCAUCCCUCUCUCCAAGUUUCUGGACGUUGGCCGACAGUCUAUGAAUCACCUUGACAUGGUGAUGCCUUACCUCAGUCUCAUCCUUCAUUCCGAUGUAACAUUAUUUCUGUGUCUGCCUGUCUGUCUUUGCUCAAGUUUCCCAUUUUUAGAGGUGGUCUGGUCACAGUAAAUUGACGCCACACAUCAUAAACCUAUCUAAGUUCUGUUUGUUAUUUCCAAAUGAAGUCACAUUUGAAGAAAUGAGGGUUUGUACAUCAACAGAAUCUGGUGGGGAGUGCACAAUUCCUAUAUCAUAGUGGCUAUCAUAUAAUAUAUAGUAUUAUAUAAUUUUGUACUUAACUGAUUGAUCUCAGAAAUAUAUAACAAGUAUAUUCCAUAACACAGAAAAAUGUUGUGAGAAAAGACCAAUACUCUAGUUUGUGCUGAUAUUAAAGAGUUAUUUAGUCCUUAUUGUUCACAAGAAGUGAUGAGCACAUUGAUUACAUCAUUAGGGCUGAGGGUAUAGGUGCUUAGUAAUGUUAUCUCUUAACAUGGGAACAAACUUUGAAGUCAUGACUGUGAUGUUUAAAAUUGGUUAAUGCUGGGCUAUCUUUGCUAGAACUGAUAUCGCUCUAACAUCUAGAAAGGUUUGUUUUAGGUGAAGAGCGGUUUUUCAAUGCCUUAAGAAGCCUCCAUAAUUAUGCCCCAGCAAUCUGAAGGUGGGGUCCACUUUGUUUUAACAUAGCUCUUGCCACCAGAGCACAAUGUUAGGUUGUAGAGAGUGAUUUCAGAUGGAUUUCUUCUCUGGUGCCUUUUCUAUUUGGUACAUAUUUAUGCCACCCAGAGACUAAGGUGUCCUGUACAUUUGUGAGCUUCUGACUUUACUCAGCAUCCGUCAGUAAAGUCUAGAAACUGGCAGCUCUCCGUCUGUCUCAAAAAGGGAAAUGCCUCAAAAAGUUAUCAAGACAUGGGACACAGAAAGCCUAAAUAAGAAAGGUUGUUUCUAAAAUGUGUGAUCAAACUUUUGAGAGCUAACAUAUUCUGUGCCCCAGUUUUCAGUAUGAUGAUAAAAGUAGAAUAAGAAUCAAUAGCUCAGAAACACAAGAUAAGUAGUGAGAACUCUCAAGAAGUAGGAAAUGGAAAAGAAAAAUGAUGAAUAGGAAAGAC